UGAAAGCGCAUCUUAAGUGACCUAAACAAACCUGAUAAACGUGCUGCCAGACAGAGAAAAACUAUGGAUAUAAAUGAUGGACAAAAUGGCUUCCUUGAUUACAAUCCUUAAUAAAUCAAUAAUAAAAUAUUCAA